UGAGGAAUUUUGCGCAAUGGCCGCAAGGCUGACGCAGCAACGCCGCGUGGGUGAAGAAGGCCUUCGGGUCGUAAAGCCCUGUCAGGUGGGAAGAAUGUCCGGGGGUUGAAUGAACUCUCGGAGUGACGGUACCACCAGAGGAAGCACCGGCUAACUCCGUGCCAGCAGCCGCGGUAAUACGGAGGGUGCGAGCGUUAUUCGGAAUUACUGGGCGUAAAGCGCGUGCAGGCGGGUAGGCAAGUCUGAUGUGAAAGCCCCGGGCUCAACCUGGGAAGUGCAUUGGAAACUGCCUAUCUGGAGGGCUGGAGAGGAAGGGGGAAUUCCCGGUGUAGAGGUGAAAUUCGUAGAGAUCGGGAGGAAUACCAGUGGCGAAGGCGCCCUUCUGGACGGCAACUGACGCUGAGACGCGAAAGCGUGGGGAGCAAACA
rnacentral:rRNA from 1 species